ensembl:lncRNA LINC00354 long intergenic non-protein coding RNA 354
CACAUUCCUGCGCAGUUGCGCUGCUGGCGGAAGUGACUUGUUUUCUAACGACCCUCGUGACAGCCAGAGAAUGUCCGUUUCUCGGAGCGCAGCACAGCCUGUCCCAUCGAGAAGCCUCGGGUGGACAUGGACUCCAUGGAAGCCUGAGCUGCCAGGGGCUUCCCUGGGGCAGCACUGCUUCGCGUAGGCUCACGAGAAACUUCCAGGGUUCCUGGCGCCAGCCUUUCAACAGAGCAGCACAUUAUGCCUGGAUAAGACUCAAAGAGCAGCUUAAUAUCAGGUUCUCUGGGGCUGUAAUCAUCGGUUCAGGAUGGAGCAGACACAGCCGCAGCAAGGCCUCUGUGCAGCCCCCGGUUUAAAACACAUCAACGCAUCCGUGGGCACUUUUGUGAGUUAAAGCUCAACUUACACAUCUGCCUGUAUCCAUAGGAAAUGAAUGAAAAUAAACAAACAAAUUCCUUGCAUUCAACGCAGCGUAAGAAAAAUCACAUCCUGUUCCCCAGUAGCUGAGGAAAGCCGGCUCACGAGAGUAUACAGGGAGAAGAGGCCAGCAUUGUGUGGCUGCCAGCAAAGCUCACUUGUAUGUCAAAUGCAGCGCUUUUCUUAGCCCAUUAUGUAUUUUUUUUUUCUUGAACACUCCUGUGUCUACUGGGAUCUCCUGUUUUUAUUGUUUUGGGAUGAGAUUUUAAAAACACCAUUUAAUGUAGCCUGUGUGCUCUUGUUCAUUAAACCAAAAAGAAACCCUGGAUCACGGC